ACAUGCAGUCGAGCGGAUGACGGGAGCUUGCUCUUUGAUUCAGCGGCGGACGGGUGAGUAAUGCCUAGGAAUCUGCCUGGUAGUGGGGGACAACGUUUCGAAAGGAACGCUAAUACCGCAUACGUCCUACGGGAGAAAGCAGGGGACCUUCGGGCCUUGCGCUAUCAGAUGAGCCUAGGUCGGAUUAGCUAGUUGGUGGGGUAAUGGCUCACCAAGGCGACGAUCCGUAACUGGUCUGAGAGGAUGAUCAGUCACACUGGAACUGAGACACGGUCCAGACUCCUACGGGAGGCAGCAGUGGGGAAUAUUGGACAAUGGGCGAAAGCCUGAUCCAGCCAUGCCGCGUGUGUGAAGAAGGUCUUCGGAUUGUAAAGCACUUUAAGUUGGGAGGAAGGCAGUAAGCUAAUACCUUGCUGUUUUGACGUUACCGACAGAAUAAGCACCGCUAACUCUGUGCCAGCAGCCGCGGUAAUACAGAGGUGCAAGCUUCAUCGGAAUUACUGGGCGUAAAGCGCGCGUAGGGUGGUUGUUAAGUUGGAUGUAAAUCCCGGCUCAACCUGG
rnacentral:rRNA from 1 species